GAGGUAACUGUGGGAGCACAUCAAGGAGCAGAGGGCUCAGUGCAGGACCUCGUGUCCAUGUCCUGCACCAUCCCCACGCCAGGACAAACCCACACUGAGCCCCAGGACCUCAUGCCUUCCACCCCCAGACAAGAAGCAUCAGUCUGGCUCUAGAGGAGAUGCUGUUGCUGCUUUUUCAAGCUGGACCUGAAAGAUGCCUGAGCCAGCAGGAUCCCCUCAUCCAGGUGCCCAGGUGGCUGAUAAAAAGCCGAGGAGUGAUGGACACGCACCGAGUUUGCCUUCCUGGCUGGAGCAGCGCUUAUCUCUCUCCUGGCAUUUCCCAUUUGCUCUGGCGCAGCACUUCACACACAGCAGAGACAUUGUCCCUGUUCCAGGGGGGUGGGAAAACACCCUCCCUGCUCAGGCUGGCUCUGCCUGUGCCUCUGCUCCAUAAAUCAAGUGGAUUUGUGCAGCUCCCUCGGUCAACACUGCAAACCAAGGCUCAACCUCCACUCCAGGCUCCCAGAACGAGACAUCCCACGGAAGCAUCAGUAAGGUGACAGUGGGAUUCACUGGAAUCUUCCCAGAGAGAGAGGAUCCAGGAAUGUUCCCCAAUGGAGAGCAGAGCAGCCUCUGGAUUUUGGGCACUGGAAAGUCCCCCAGCCUGGAGAGGGGCCAUCCCAUGUCGUUCAGGGAUGGGACUGAGACGAUGACAGCCCUCCCAAGGCAAAAUUCAACCCUUCCCUUCGUGUUUCAAAACAGGGCAAGGAUGGAAAAACUACCCUGGGAGCUCAAAUAUAACCAGCUCACCUCACAAAUAGAUCCCCCUCAGGAUUUUUGUGGAUGGGGAGCUUUCCAUGCUGGAUUUCUUUUGAAAAAAAGCCUUUUUCCUUCAUGGGAGCAGGAGGGGGCCGGCGGCCGGGGGAAACACGCCUGGAAUGUGACAAGCCUGUUCUCCUGCUUGUUUGUGUAAACGAGUUGGGUCUAUUCCCUUCCUCUUCAAGUGCACGUUUUUCAGCCUCCUUGAAAAGCAAAUUUACUUUCAGAGCACAUGGAUGCCAGCCCAGGGGUGAGGUGUGGUGGCUGGUGGCGAUAAUAAUUAAUAAUAUUAAUUGUUGAGAAUAAUAAAGUGAAGGGUGAAUUAAAGUGGUGGGUGAUG
ensembl:lncRNA